rnacentral:lncRNA from 1 species
GGUGAAUCCAUGUAGCCCAUUUAACAAAUGCAGGCUUGGUGAAAACUCAAGGUCAUGACUGUUCUGAAUAAAAAUAGUGGCAUAGGAGUAGUGCCUAGAGGGCAACUGAUUCACAGCUGUUGCAAUAAGAAGAUAAUGAAAAUUUAUCAACAACAUCUCUACCAAAUUAUGGGAAUUUAUAGCAGAUAUUUGCAAUCUGGGUUAUUGGUGAGUUGAAAUUUCUUUUCCUCCAGAUAUUUGCCGUUUUAUCAAGUUACAAUCUGUCAUGCUGUGUGUCAUGUCAUGUUACAUCAUGAUAUGUCAUAUGAUAUUAUUAAGAGCUUCCACAAUCUCUCUUCCAGUUGGUGAUUCUGCUCCCCUGGGAAGCAUACAUUGCAAAUACAGCUGCAUGAGCUGAUACUUCUGAACACCUGGCAGUCCCUGAAGUAUUUGCUGAGUAAUAUGCUGAUGAAUACCUGCUGUAUGGUGAUAGCAAACAGGUCCUUCCUGCAGUGCUAAAAGCUCCUUGAAUAGCACAAAGAAGGUCAAGGUGAAGGACUCUGGUUCCUGUUCUAAAUCAUGAUAAAGGCACUUCCACUUUUUUCCGCAGCUCUAUACUUCAUAACCUGUCAUGCAUUGCAGGGAAAUAAGAGGGGAAUGUAUAUAUAUUAUAUUUAGCUGCUGCUGAUCUUGUAACUUCAUAUGUAGUUAGUCAUCCAUUCUCACAGAUUAUGAAAAUAGUAAAAUGAAAUUCACAGCUACACUAUCACAGCUUGAAACUUUGUAAAUGAACAUUCAUAGCAGGGCCCUCAACAUCCUUUUUAUAGACAUGACUGCAGCUACAAUUUUAUAUACUUUUAAACAGCUAUUCCUUUCAAAGCCCCAACCUCUGUGUUUUCUGUGCAAUAUUCUCUAAGGCAUGAUCCUUCUAAUUCUAAACUUCCCCAAACUAAAAGAAGAGAAAGGCAGGCUAUGUACUCACAUAAGCAGAGAAGUAACUAAUUGAAGUUAUUAAAUUAUAAUAUCUGAGUUAUAGGACUUAAAAAAAUAUUUUUUACAUGUAAAAGUCUUAUUUUUGGCAUUGCCAACAGCAAAAUGGCAUUUAGUUCAAGGGAGCAGCUUUUGUAGCUAAAAGCUUUUAUCUCUGAAAAAAGCAGAUACAAAAAGAGAAUUUCCUGCACUGAAGAAACUUCAAGGCAGGGGGAAGCAGUUCUCUUCCCCUAAACCUUUAAUAAGU